rnacentral:rRNA from 1 species
GACGUAGGGCGCGAGCGUUGUCCGGAUUUAUUGGGCGUAAAGAGCGUGUAGGCGGUUCGGUAAGUCUGUCGUGAAAUCCUGAGGCUCAACCUCGGACGUGCGAUGGAUACUGCCGGGCUAGAGGAUGGUAGAGGCGAGUGGAAUUCCCGGUGUAGCGGUGAAAUGCGCAGAUAUCGGGAGGAACACCUAUGGCGAAGGCAGCUCGCUGGGACGUUACUGACGCUGAGACGCGAAAGCGUGGGGAGCAAACAGG